AGAAGGAAAAAAAAAAUAAGAAGACAACAUUCCUAGUGAUCUUUCCGUGGGAAUGCGGCAAAGAGGCAGCAGGCAUAGUGAAAAUGGGCGGCGAUGGAUACUCCCAGCACUUGCUGAGCACUGCUACACCUCAGGACUGGGACAGGACAGAAGAGCUCCUUGGCACUGGAUGCCUCCGGGUCUGGUUGAGAGAGGAAUGGUUAGGAGAUUGUUCUGAGGAUAUGCAGACAUCAUCCAAAGCUUCCUACAUUCAGAUGAGGACAGAGGUUGGGCUAGAGCUUUGUAUGCUUGUUACCUAAGUAUGGUUCUGACCAUGUAAGCAGAUCACAGAAGAGCCAGCCUUGACAAUGUGCUGAUGGCAACCU
rnacentral:antisense_RNA from 1 species